ACAUUACGAGGAAGAGGCGUUUAAGGCAAGGAAAGUUUAUUUGCGAUAAACCACAGUCCUUCACAGAAACAGCUAACGAUUAAAAACAAGUGUUAACACAAAAAUGACAAAACUCAGAGAUUAUCAAGUUCAAAUAACGAAAUAACAGAUGCUGUAGAUGAAAUUAAGAUUUUGAUUUAUGAAAAAGCAGAAGUGAACAAUAAAGUUUCCAGGGCGGAUUGAAAUGUUCCUUUUUUCCCCUCUACAGUUGAGGCGCGUUGAAACAGGAUGCUGCUUCAAUCAUUGUCUUUAGAAAAGACUCAAUAAGCCUGCAUCCGACGUACGACUACGUGAGGGGUCUCAUAGUGAACUAGAAAGUCUUCCGUGAUUUAAGUCCCAAGAACAUUUAGCGCUUUGUAGACUCGCACUGAGAUUUUAGAAUCUUUGACUGACAGGAAGCAGGUGUAGAUUUUAACUCUUUCAAGUAAUGAAAAUACAGUGUGAUGUGUGCUGUUUCAGACAAAACACGAUAAAACACGUCUUGGAGCUAGUCAUUGAUUGCGAUUGAUCCAACCAAAGGUGAGAGCAUGGUCAAGGGGAGGUGAUGGAUAUGAUCAUCAAAGUUAAUGAUGUCCAAGCUAUGCCUACUCAUACAUCAUUCCUGAGAACAGGCAUGUCAAGCUGAGCCAAGCAUCAACUCUGAGUCACACUGACAAGUUGAAAAUCAACAGGCUUUCCCAAUGUGGCGAUGAAGAUAAAUGAGGUGAAUAGAAACAGCAUAGUGACAGUUUAAGUGAUAAAAAAAAAGCACCAUCAAAUCCUGAAUGCAAUUUAAAAUAA